rnacentral:rRNA from 1 species
UAGAGUUUUGAUCAUGGCUCAGAUUGAACGCUGGCGGCAGGCCUAACACAUGCAAGUCGAGCGGUAGCACAGAGAGCUUGCUCUCGGGUGACGAGCGGCGGACGGGUGAGUAAUGUCUGGGAAACUGCCUGAUGGAGGGGGAUAACUACUGGAAACGGUAGCUAAUACCGCAUAAUGUCGCAAGACCAAAGUGGGGGACCUUCGGGCCUCAUGCCAUCAGAUGUGCCCAGAUGGGAUUAGCUAGUAGGUGGGGUAACGGCUCACCUAGGCGACGAUCCCUAGCUGGUCUGAGAGGAUGACCAGCCACACUGGAACUGAGACACGGUCCAGACUCCUACGGGAGGCAGCAGUGGGGAAUAUUGCACAAUGGGCGCAAGCCUGAUGCAGCCAUGCCGCGUGUGUGAAGAAGGCCUUCGGGUUGUAAAGCACUUUCAGCGGGGAGGAAGGCGAUAAGGUUAAUAACCUUGUCGAUUGACGUUACCCGCAGAAGAAGCACCGGCUAACUCCGUGCCAGCAGCCGCGGUAAUACGGAGGGUGCAAGCGUUAAUCGGAAUUACUGGGCGUAAAGCGCACGCAGGCGGUCUGUCAAGUCGGAUGUGAAAUCCCCGGGCUCAACCUGGGAACUGCAUUCGAAACUGGCAGGCUAGAGUCUUGUAGAGGGGGGUAGAAUUCCAGGUGUAGCGGUGAAAUGCGUAGAGAUCUGGAGGAAUACCGGUGGCGAAGGCGGCCCCCGGACAAAGACUGACGUCAGGUGCGAAA